AGAGUUUGAUCCUGGCUCAGGAUGAACGCUAGCGACAGGCCUAACACAUGCAAGUCGAGGGGCAUCGGGGCUAGGAGCAAUCCUUGCCGCCGGCGACCGGCGCGCGGGUGAGUAACGCGUAUGCGACCUGCCCGUUGCAGGGGGAUAAUCGGGAGAAAUCCCGUCUAAUACCGCGUAAUGCCGCGGGGCUGCAUGGCCCUGCGGCCAAAGGGAGCGAUUCCGGCAACGGAUGGGCAUGCGUGACAUUAGCUAGUUGGCGGGGCAACGGCCCACCAAGGCGACGAUGUCUAGGGGUUCUGAGAGGAAGGUCCCCCACACUGGUACUGAGACACGGACCAGACUCCUACGGGAGGCAGCAGUGAGGAAUAUUGGUCAAUGGGCGCGAGCCUGAACCAGCCAAGUCGCGUGAGGGAUGACGGCCCUACGGGUUGUAAACCUCUUUUGUCGGGGAGCAAAUUCCGUUACGUGUAACGGAGUCGAGAGUACCCGAAGAAAAAGCAUCGGCUAACUCCGUGCCAGCAGCCGCGGUAAUACGGAGGAUGCGAGCGUUAUCCGGAUUUAUUGGGUUUAAAGGGUGCGUAGGCGGACUGUCAAGUCAGCGGUAAAAUACGGGGGCUCAACCUCCGCCCGCCGUUGAAACUGACGGUCUUGAGUGGGCGAGAAGUAUGCGGAAUGCGUGGUGUAGCGGUGAAAUGCAUAGAUAUCACGCAGAACUCCGAUUGCGAAGGCAGCAUACCGGCGCCCAACUGACGCUGAAGCACGAAAGCGUGGGUAUCGAACAGGAUUAGAUACCCUGGUAGUCCACGCAGUAAACGAUGAAUACUAGCUGUCCGGGGCGAAUGAGCCCUGGGUGGCACAGCGAAAGCGUUAAGUAUUCCACCUGGGGAGUACGCCGGCAACGGUGAAACUCAAAGGAAUUGACGGGGGCCCGCACAAGCGGAGGAACAUGUGGUUUAAUUCGAUGAUACGCGAGGAACCUUACCCGGGCUCAAACGACACAGGAACGUACCUGAAAGGGUUCGGCUCUACGGAGCCUGUGUCGAGGUGCUGCAUGGUUGUCGUCAGCUCGUGCCGUGAGGUGUCGGCUUAAGUGCCAUAACGAGCGCAACCCCCAUCGACAGUUGCUAACAGGUCAGGCUGAGGACUCUGUCGAGACUGCCGGCGCAAGCUGCGAGGAAGGCGGGGAUGACGUCAAAUCAGCACGGCCCUUACGUCCGGGGCGACACACGUGUUACAAUGGCAGGUACAGCGGGAAGCCACCUGGCGACAGGGAGCGGAACCCGAAAGCCUGUCUCAGUUCGGAUUGGAGUCUGCAACCCGACUCCAUGAAGCUGGAUUCGCUAGUAAUCGCGCAUCAGCCACGGCGCGGUGAAUACGUUCCCGGGCCUUGCACUCACCGCCCGUCA
rnacentral:rRNA from 1 species